UGCCUCUUGUAAUUAAUAAUAUGAUUUACUAAUAUGACUGUCAUUGUCUUUUUGUUUUGUGGUUUUGCAGGAAUCCUCAGUUUUGGGUCAGGGUUGUUGAGUUGUGAUGGCAGCAGGAUCUCAGCCCUGGGAAAGAUUACAAUCUCAUUAUUAGUCAAGAGGAAGCAGGAAAGGGAAAGCUUGUAACAAAUGAGGUUUUGUUUUUGUUGCCUGUUAUCAGAUCACUGUGCACUGCAAAGAUGAGUGGGAUCUGUGUUACAGGAUCUACAUCCUUGCUUUAGGUAUUUUGCAGACAGCAAUAAAUCUCCUCUUAGCCCCCUUACCCUUCCUCUCUGAAGACUGGACAGAUCCAUUUCUCCUCCCCUCCGCAGAUCUCUGUCUCCUCUCCAUCUCUUGGGUCUUCGGGGUUCUUGCUGUGGAAAUAUCUGUAUGCUUCGUGUCACAUUUCUUCCAUAGAAACUGUUCAAACUCUGAGAACAGAAGUGUUCCCUGCACCUCUAUUACAACUUUCCUAUGAAUUUCUUCAUUUAGAAACCAGUUUUUCUGAAAGAAGUGACAGUGCUUGACUUCUGCACUGGUGGAAGGAUUUUCUUUUGGGGAAUCCCUUCUCCAUCAUUUCCUUAUUUGAACCUGGAAUGUCUUUAGGACCAGAUGUAAAUGUUUUGAAAUUAAAAGGUAAUAAGAAAUUCAGUGAGACUCCUUUCUAGCCCAGGGAAGAUAAAACUCUUCCUAAGCAGCUAGGAACAGAAAGUACUUUUUCUAAAAAUAAUACAUGGUAUGGACUAAUAACCCCACCUGUAACACCCACUGUAAAUUCUAUCCACUGCCAGGCUGACACUCCUGGGCUUCUAGCACCUUCUUUCCUUUGUGUCUACCUUAGAUAAGUUUGUUGCCUAUAUUUUCAUAAAGAAUUUAACUAAAUUUUUUUUUAUUCCCUUUUUUUUUUUUUCCUGUCAUCCACAUACUGCUAUUAUUCUACUCAUCAGGGGAUCAUAAAGCCAUAACCUCCCAUCUUAUUAACAAUAGAACUAGUAAUUGUUAAUAUAGAACACUGACAGGCAUAAUUACACAACAAAUAACUUCACAUUUUAAUCCCUUAACACAUAAUUUA
rnacentral:lncRNA from 1 species